UCCUAAAGCCACUUGCGAGUCGAGAGGUGCAAGACCUCGGCGCACUGCUCAGUAACACGUGGACAACCUACCCUGUGGAGGGGGAUAACCCCGGAAAACUGGGGAUAAUACCCCAUAGGUUAGGGAGGCUGGAAUGCCCCCUAGCUCAAAGGUCCGCCGCCACAGGAUGGGUCUGCGGCCGAUUAGGUUGUUGUUGGGGUAACGGCCCAACAAGCCUUUGAUCGGUACGGGUUGUGGGAGCAAGAGCCCGGAGAUGGAUUCUGAGACACGAAUCCAGGCCCUACGGGGCGCAGCAGGCGCGAAAACUUUACAAUGCGAGAAAUCGUGAUAAGGGAACCCCGAGUGCCCGUAAAUUCGGGCUGUCCGCCAGUGCAAAAAACUGGUGAAGAAAGAGCCGGGCAAGACCGGUGCCAGCCGCCGCGGUAAUACCGGCGGCUCGAGUGGUGGCCACUAUUACUGGGCUUAAAGCGUCCGUAGCUUGGUUGUUAAGUCUCCUGGGAAAUCCAUCGGCUCAACCGAUGGGCGUUCAGGAGAUACUGGCAACCUAGGGACCGGGAGAGGUGAGAGGUACUCCAGGGGUAGGAGUGAAAUCCUGUAAUCCUUGGGGGACCACCUGUGGCGAAGGCGUCUCACUAGAACGGCUCCGACAGUGAGGGACGAAAGCUGGAGGAGCAAACCGGAUUAGAUACCCGGGUAGUCCCAGCUGUAAACGAUGCGCGUUAGGUGUAUCGGUGACCACGAGUCACCGAGGUGCCGAAGAGAAAUCGUGAAACGUGCCGCCUGGGAAGUACGGUCGCAAGGCUGAAACUUAAAGGAAUUGGCGGGGGAGCACCACAACAGGUGGAGCCUGCGGUUUAAUCGGACUCAACGCCGGGAAGCUCACCGGAUAAGACAGCUGAAUGAUAGCCGGGUUGAAGACUCUGCUUGACUAGCUGAGAGGAGGUGCAUGGCCGUCGUCAGUCGUACUGAGACG
rnacentral:rRNA from 1 species